GGGUUGUGAGGUUAAGCGACUAAGCGUACACGGUGGAUGCCCUGGCAGUCAGAGGCGAUGAAGGACGUGCUAAUCUGCGAUAAGCGUCGGUAAGGUGAUAUGAACCGUUAUAACCGGCGAUUUCCGAAUGGGGAAACCCAGUGUGUUUCGACACACUAUCAUUAACUGAAUCCAUAGGUUAAUGAGGCGAACCGGGGGAACUGAAACAUCUAAGUACCCCGAGGAAAAGAAAUCAACCGAGAUUCCCCCAGUAGCGGCGAGCGAACGGGGAGCAGCCCAGAGCCUGAAUCAGUGUGUGUGUUAGUGGAAGCGUCUGGAAAGGCGCGCGAUACAGGGUGACAGCCCCGUACACAAAAAUGCACAUGCUGUGAGCUCGAUGAGUAGGGCGGGACACGUGGUAUCCUGUCUGAAUAUGGGGGGACCAUCCUCCAAGGCUAAAUACUCCUGACUGACCGAUAGUGAACCAGUACCGUGAGGGAAAGGCGAAAAGAACCCCGGCGAGGGGAGUGAAAAAGAACCUGAAACCGUGUACGUACAAGCAGUGGGAGCACGCUUAGGCGUGUGACUGCGUACCUUUUGUAUAAUGGGUCAGCGACUUAUAUUCUGUAGCAAGGUUAACCGAAUAGGGGAGCCGAAGGGAAACCGAGUCUUAACUGGGCGUUAAGUUGCAGGGUAUAGACCCGAAACCCGGUGAUCUAGCCAUGGGCAGGUUGAAGGUUGGGUAACACUAACUGGAGGACCGAACCGACUAAUGUUGAAAAAUUAGCGGAUGACUUGUGGCUGGGGGUGAAAGGCCAAUCAAACCGGGAGAUAGCUGGUUCUCCCCGAAAGCUAUUUAGGUAGCGCCUCGUGAAUUCAUCUCCGGGGGUAGAGCACUGUUUCGGCAAGGGGGUCAUCCCGACUUACCAACCCGAUGCAAACUGCGAAUACCGGAGAAUGUUAUCACGGGAGACACACGGCGGGUGCUAACGUCCGUCGUGAAGAGGGAAACAACCCAGACCGCCAGCUAAGGUCCCAAAGUCAUGGUUAAGUGGGAAACGAUGUGGGAAGGCCCAGACAGCCAGGAUGUUGGCUUAGAAGCAGCCAUCAUUUAAAGAAAGCGUAAUAGCUCACUGGUCGAGUCGGCCUGCGCGGAAGAUGUAACGGGGCUAAACCAUGCACCGAAGCUGCGGCAGCGACGCUUAUGCGUUGUUGGGUAGGGGAGCGUUCUGUAAGCCUGUGAAGGUGUGCUGUGAGGCAUGCUGGAGGUAUCAGAAGUGCGAAUGCUGACAUAAGUAACGAUAAAGCGGGUGAAAAGCCCGCUCGCCGGAAGACCAAGGGUUCCUGUCCAACGUUAAUCGGGGCAGGGUGAGUCGACCCCUAAGGCGAGGCCGAAAGGCGUAGUCGAUGGGAAACAGGUUAAUAUUCCUGUACUUGGUGUUACUGCGAAGGGGGGACGGAGAAGGCUAUGUUGGCCGGGCGACGGUUGUCCCGGUUUAAGCGUGUAGGCUGGUUUUCCAGGCAAAUCCGGAAAAUCAAGGCUGAGGCGUGAUGACGAGGCACUACGGUGCUGAAGCAACAAAUGCCCUGCUUCCAGGAAAAGCCUCUAAGCAUCAGGUAACAUCAAAUCGUACCCCAAACCGACACAGGUGGUCAGGUAGAGAAUACCAAGGCGCUUGAGAGAACUCGGGUGAAGGAACUAGGCAAAAUGGUGCCGUAACUUCGGGAGAAGGCACGCUGAUAUGUAGGUGAAGUCCCUCGCGGAUGGAGCUGAAAUCAGUCGAAGAUACCAGCUGGCUGCAACUGUUUAUUAAAAACACAGCACUGUGCAAACACGAAAGUGGACGUAUACGGUGUGACGCCUGCCCGGUGCCGGAAGGUUAAUUGAUGGGGUUAGCGCAAGCGAAGCUCUUGAUCGAAGCCCCGGUAAACGGCGGCCGUAACUAUAACGGUCCUAAGGUAGCGAAAUUCCUUGUCGGGUAAGUUCCGACCUGCACGAAUGGCGUAAUGAUGGCCAGGCUGUCUCCACCCGAGACUCAGUGAAAUUGAACUCGCUGUGAAGAUGCAGUGUACCCGCGGCAAGACGGAAAGACCCCGUGAACCUUUACUAUAGCUUGACACUGAACAUUGAGCCUUGAUGUGUAGGAUAGGUGGGAGGCUUUGAAGUGUGGACGCCAGUCUGCAUGGAGCCGACCUUGAAAUACCACCCUUUAAUGUUUGAUGUUCUAACGUUGACCCGUAAUCCGGGUUGCGGACAGUGUCUGGUGGGUAGUUUGACUGGGGCGGUCUCCUCCUAAAGAGUAACGGAGGAGCACGAAGGUUGGCUAAUCCUGGUCGGACAUCAGGAGGUUAGUGCAAUGGCAUAAGCCAGCUUGACUGCGAGCGUGACGGCGCGAGCAGGUGCGAAAGCAGGUCAUAGUGAUCCGGUGGUUCUGAAUGGAAGGGCCAUCGCUCAACGGAUAAAAGGUACUCCGGGGAUAACAGGCUGAUACCGCCCAAGAGUUCAUAUCGACGGCGGUGUUUGGCACCUCGAUGUCGGCUCAUCACAUCCUGGGGCUGAAGUAGGUCCCAAGGGUAUGGCUGUUCGCCAUUUAAAGUGGUACGCGAGCUGGGUUUAGAACGUCGUGAGACAGUUCGGUCCCUAUCUGCCGUGGGCGCUGGAGAACUGAGGGGGGCUGCUCCUAGUACGAGAGGACCGGAGUGGACGCAUCACUGGUGUUCGGGUUGUCAUGCCAAUGGCACUGCCCGGUAGCUAAAUGCGGAAGAGAUAAGUGCUGAAAGCAUCUAAGCACGAAACUUGCCCCGAGAUGAGUUCUCCCUGACCCUUUAAGGGUCCUGAAGGAACGUUGAAGACGACGACGUUGAUAGGCCGGGUGUGUAAGCGCAGCGAUGCGUUGAGCUAACCGGUACUAAUGAACCGUGAGGCUUAACCUUACAACGCCGAAG
rnacentral:rRNA from 1 species